rnacentral:rRNA from 1 species
CUUGGUUGAUCCUGCCAUUAGUCAUGUGCUUGUCUCAAAUAUUAAUCCAUACAAGUGUAAGUAUGAACAAAUUCAUACUGAGAAGCUGUGAAUGGCUCAUUAAAUCAACUGUAGUUUGUUUGAUGGUAUCUGCUACUCGAAUAAUCGUACUAAUUCAAUAGCUAAUACAUGGAACUAACCCAACUUUUGGAAGAGAUGGAUUUAUUUGAUAAAAGGUUGACGUGGGCUUUGUCUAUUGCUACGAUGAUUCAUGAUAACUCGACAGAUCAUACGGCCAUCAUGCCAGUGAUGUAUCAGUCAAAUUUCUGCACUAUCAAAUUUCAAUGGUAGGAUAGUGGCCUACUAUGGUGAUGAAAUGUGAUAAAAUAUUAGGGUUUGAUUCCAAAGAGAGAGCCUGAGAAAUGACCACCACAUCCAAGGAAGGAAAUAUGCACAUAAAUUAUCCAUUCCUGGCAUGGUGAGGUAGUGACAAUGAAUAACAUUACCUGGCUCAAUAAGUCUGGUAAUUGGAAUAAGUACAAUAUAAAUCAAUUAAUAAGGAUCCAUUGGAGGGAAAGUCUGUUGAUAGUAGAUGCGGUAAUUCUAGAUCCAAUAGCAUAAAUUUAAUUUAUUGUAGUUUAAAAUCUCAUUGUCGUACUUUGGGAUGGGCCAGCUAGUCUGCCUAUGGUGUGCACCGAUCGUCUAAUCCCUUCUGUCAGUGAUGCACUUCUGCCCUUAACUAGCCAAGUCAUUCCACCAACGUUGUUACUUUGAGGAAAUUAGAGUGCUUAAAUCAAGCCUACACUCUAUAUACAUUAGCAUGGGAUAACAUUAUAGGAUUUAGUCCUAUUACGUUGGCCUUCAGGAUUGGAGUAAUGAUUAACAGAGAUAGUCGGGGGCAUUUGUAUUUAAUAGUUAAAGGUGAAAUUAUAGGGUUUAUGAAAAACAAACAACUGCGAAAGCAUUUGCUAAGGAUGUUUUCAUUAAUAAAGUACAAAAGUUGGGGGCUCAAAGAGGAUCACAUACAUUCCUAGUCUCAACCAUAAAUGAUGCGGACCAGGGAUCGACGAAUGUUGCUUUUAGGACACUACUGGUAACUUAUGAGAAAUCAGAGUUUUUGGGUUUCGUGGGAAGUAUGGUCACAAGGCUAAAACUUAAAGGAAUUGAUAGAAGUGGACCACGAGGAGUUAAGACUUCAUCUUAAUUUGACUCAACAAGGGAAUUUAGCAGAUCAAGACAUAGUAAGAAUUGACAAACUGAAAGCUCUUUCUUGAUUCUAUGGGUGGUGGUGCAUGGUCGUUCUUAGUUGGUGGAGACAUUUGUUAGGUUAAAUCCAUUAACAAAUAAGACCUCAGCCUACUAACUUGCUAUACGAUGGUAUCCCUUCACGGCCAGCUUCUAAGAGGGACUACGACCUUUUAGGACAUGGAAGUUUGAGGAAAUAACAGGUCUGUGGUACCCUUAGAUGUUCUGGGACGCACACACGCUACACUGAUAUAUUCAAUGAGUUGAUAGCCUUGGCCAAUAGGCACGUGUAAUAUUUUAAAUUUUAUCAUAAUAUGGAUAGAUCAUUGAUAUUAUUGGUCUUCAAUGAGGAAUUCCUAGUAAGCGCGAAUCAUCAGCUCAAGUUGACUAUGUCCCUACCUUUUGUACACACCAACCUCGCUCCUACCGAUUGAAUGAUCUGGUGAAAUAUUCAAACCACACCGACUUAGGCAGUUUGUUUUCACUCCAUGAGGCACUGUUUAUAAUUCGGGUUGUUUGGGAAUACAUCCCAAAUUGGGUCCAUCCAAGGCUAA